UUUCCGUAGGUGAACCUGCGGAAGGAUCAUUCAUAAUAAAGUGUUUUAUGGCACUUUUUAAAAAUCCAUAUCCACCUUGUGUGCAAUGUUAGAUCUCGUCAAUCUUGGCGAGAUUUUUAUACAUCAACUCAUUCUUUAACUAAUUUGUCUGAAAAAUAUUAUGAAUACUUAAUUCAAAAUACAACUUUCAACAACGGAUCUCUUGGCUCUCGCACCGAUGAAGAACGCAGC
rnacentral:misc_RNA from 1 species